AGUUCCAGUAGAUUUGACACGGUGGCUCAAACAGAGACCGACCCGACGCGCUGUAUUUAUGCUCCUCCAGCCGCUUGAGUUGAGCGGUUGACAGCGGCUCCGACCACAGGAAAUGUGGCAUUGUGUUUCUGCCGAGUCACUCCUCAAAUUCCCGUCACAAACUCCCCCAGAUACUCCCGUUGUAGAGUUAGAACUAACCUAUCUUCUCUCCUCUGAUAGAUAGCGGCUCAUAUGGCAUUUAUAGCUAGCUGCCUAGCUGCCAUUUUCACAGCGGAACCAUGAGUUGUCGAUAGUCGGUGAGUUUCUGAUCGGGUCUCGGCAGGAAGCGACGGUCCGGAAGGGAAUGUGUACCGGGAAAUUUAAACGGCCAAUGUCCACAUUAUUCAACGACAAAGACGGUCAUUCAAAACAUGAAAUACUGUGUUAAAAAAUAUGAACAACUUUGACGACAACAGUGUAGUAUGCAGCUGUCACGUCAAUGUUUUUAUAUUUACCGUCAAAUUUCGUUAGUCUAAAAAAUAAAAACACAGUUGCUACCUGCUAACUCGACAUGACUUCGACGUGUUCAACAGCUUUUGAUUCAAACCUGUGAUUGGAGCGUUGCCAUUGUCUUUUGGAGGAGUCCAGACCAGAGCGACGUUACCCCCCCAGACAUCUUCAAUCGUCACACACUGAGGAGGCCCAGGCUGUGUUUGGUUUGAGCCAUUCUCAGCAGGACUGGGUUCCUGGGUUACCACAGCCUUGGCGGGACUGGGUUCCUGAGCCACCACAGCCUCAUCGUUACUGGGCUCCUGAACCACUACAGCCUCAUUGGGACUGGGCUCCUGAACCACUACAGUCACGGCGGGACUGGGUUCCGGAGCCAUCACAGCCUCGGGGGGACUGGGCUCCUGAGCUACAAUAGCCUCAUUGGAAUUGGGCUCCUGAGCUACCACAGCCUCGGCGGAACUGGGCUCCUGAGCUACAACAGCUUCAUCGGGACUGGGCUCCAGAGCCACCACAAUCUCAGGGGGACUUGGCUCUUGAGCCACCACAGCCUGAACUGGCUCAGGCUCUGCAGGCUCUGGUUGUUUCCCAUCAGUCUCUACUGGCUCUUGCCCCUCUGCUACUGCCUCUGUACAGCAGACAAAGCGCCAGGCUGGAGCAGCAAGCACUAAGCAUGACAGCCUUGCAAGAUAAUGCUUGGCACGUAUAAAUAGUGAAUGACCAGAUAGCCACAUUAUGAAUCAGUGACAUUCAAGUAGGAGUGGUUUAAGAUGCUUUGAAACAGUGGUUCCUCAUGAGAAAUGCUAACAUACUUUGCCAAUUGAUCAUAAACAACUUUUGCAACUCAAGAUUUGGAUCCUUUGUGGUACUUUUGAGAUCACCAAAUCAGAAGGUUUCAUCCUCUUGGCAUUUGGUAAUUUGGUGUAAAUAUCACGGCAAUGUAUCCUGUUGAUUUUGAGAUAACCCUGACUGGAUCAAAGUAGUGGACAGCCCAGUUCAAUGAUCAUGUGCACCAAUUCAGCGUCUCUACCUGGUCAUUGCAUAUCUAUACUGUAAAGUGAUCAAGGAGGCAGGGAUGUACUGACUCAACCAGUAUGUAUGAAAUGAUCUGAUUGCUUGUACCAUUAAAUUUAGACAGAUGGCCUUUUCCCUGCAGCCAACAGAGUCAGUGAAACCCAACGUCCCUAAUCCCACCAUAGCCUGCUGUAUGAUGACUUAAUAUGUCAUACAUUUACACAGAUACAACAACAGGCACAGCAGAACUUAGUGACAGCGCUGAGCGCUAAGGCAUAUGCACGUUAAACAACACAGGCAUGCGGGCAUUUGCACUGCAAGUGGGGUGGUUGCCUAACAGCUAACCUUAUCAACUUUUUGUGUGAACACACAGUGUGAUCUGAAGUCAUACCUAUGCAAAAAAAGUGCAGUUUCAGUCCUCUCAGAGUGAAUUAAGUAAAAAGAAACUGUGUAUGCACACACCAAACGAACACGUGAUGUGAGAGUAAUGUGCAAAAGAAUGGUACAAUUCUGGUCCAAGUGACAUGAGGGCAUCAGGGUUUACCCACCUGGGGGUGGUGAAACCUCCAGGGAAAUCUCAGGUAGCGGCAGGGCACCAUUAGUGUCUGGAGCAACACUUUCUGAGCAUGUGACAAAUAUAGUAGUGGAUGGAACAACUGCUUUUUAAAAAGCACAAAGCUUCAGCAUCUGCAAUGCCUCUCUCAGUCUCCCACUCAAACCAACAUACAUAAAACACACAAACAUGUUGAACCUCACACAAAAUAGACUCACCCACAUCCAAGGGAAUUCACACUUUAUCAUAAUAAAUCAUUGACUUUGUCGACAGUUCUCUAAUUUGAUACAAAACCUCAGUCACUGUACAAACUUUAUUUAAGACUACCAUGUUGCAGAUAAAUGUCU